GACGAACGCUGGCGGCGUGCUUAACACAUGCAAGUCGAACGGUGAAAGAGGAGCUUGCUCUUCUGGAUCAGUGGCGAACGGGUGAGUAACACGUGAGUAACCUGCCCUUGACUCUGGGAUAAGCGUUGGAAACGACGUCUAAUACCGGAUACGACGACCGAUGGCAUCAUCUGGUUGUGGAAAGAAUUUCGGUCAAGGAUGGACUCGCGGCCUAUCAGCUUGUUGGUGAGGUAAUGGCUCACCAAGGCGACGACGGGUAGCCGGCCUGAGAGGGUGACCGGCCACACUGGGACUGAGACACGGCCCAGACUCCUACGGGAGGCAGCAGUGGGGAAUAUUGCACAAUGGGCGCAAGCCUGAUGCAGCAACGCCGCGUGAGGGAUGACGGCCUUCGGGUUGUAAACCUCUUUUAGUAGGGAAGAAGCGAAAGUGACGGUACCUGCAGAAAAAGCACCGGCUAACUACGUGCCAGCCGCCGCCGUAAAAC
rnacentral:rRNA from 1 species